rnacentral:rRNA from 1 species
CCUACGGGGGGCAGCAGUGGGGAAUAUUGGGCAAUGGAGGCAACUCUGACCCAGCAACGCCGCGUGAAUGAUGAAGGUCUUCGGAUCGUAAAGUUCUUUUCUAAGGGAAGAAGAAAGUGAAGAGUCCUUAGGAAUAAGUCUCGGCUAACUACGUGACAGCAGCCGCGGUACUACGUAGGAGGCAAGCGUUAUCCGGAAUGACUGGGCGUAAAGGGUGCGUAGGUGGUUUGACAAGGUGUUAGCGUAACUCCGGAGCUCAACUUCGGAACUACUACCAAAACUGUUGGACUCGAGUGCAGGAGGGGAUAGUGGAAUUUCUGGUGUAGCGGUGGAAUGCGUAGAUAUUAGGAAGAACACCGGUGGCGAAGGCGAGUUGCUGGACUGUAACUGACACUGAGGCACGAAAGCGUGGGGAGCAAACAGGAUUAGAUACCCCAGUAGUC